rnacentral:rRNA from 1 species
UACAGAGGGUGCAAGCGUUGUUCGGAAUUAUUGGGCGUAAAGGGCGCGUAGGCGGUGCCACAAGUCACCUGUGAAAUCUCCGGGCUUAACUCGGAGUCUGCAGGCGAAACUGCCGGGCUUGAGUAUGGGAGAGGUGAGUGGAAUUCCUGGUGUAGCGGUGAAAUGCGUAGAUAUCAGGAGGAACACCUGUGGCGAAAGCGGCUCACUGGACCAUAACUGACGCUGAUGCACGAAAGCUAGGGGAGCAAACAGG